rnacentral:lncRNA from 1 species
CCCCGCCCAGCCUCCAAACCCUGGCCUUAUCAAAAGCGAAUCAAAGUCCGGCUUUUUCCAGCCAAGCGGGCCUGGUGGAAAUGAGAUGUACAUUUACCCUUGACGCACUGCACGCCUGGCUGAGGCUCCCAGGUACUGAACACUUUAUCCUUUGGGAUAAUCGGUGUCUGGAGAGCACCACAAGUCCUUUGGUCUUGAGAACAGACCUUGAAGAUACACCCCAGCUCGCCAAAGACACUGGCUUACACUAA